rnacentral:lncRNA from 1 species
AUGAUUUGCAAGAGGAACUGCUACACAUUUUACACUUAUUUACUCCAACCUUUCCUGCUAAUUCCAGGUUUAUUGGUUCACCUGACAUCCUUUCAAGGAACCCUAUGAAUGAGACCCUACCAAUAUGAGGUACCGUGAGGAACAUGGACAAGUACCACAUGGAGCCCCUUCUUUUAGAAAUUGACAUUAUCUAUUUGAUAGAUUUUAGAUAUUUAGACAAGUAAAACACUAAUCUGCAAAAAACGCAAACGCAGUUCAAGAAAAUAGCACAAUAUGUGGCAACAAAGGUGUAAUUAAAUAUCUAAGUGAUUUCACAGGAGAUCAGGAUUGCUUCUGUCUAGCAGAGUAAGAUAAAUCUGCUUGGAAGAGAUGGAAUCUGAAAUGGGAGUCUAAACCCGAAAACUUUCUUACACCGCUAUGUCAGAGAGAAGAUGGAGAGAAGGUGCACAUUAUAAAAUGAUGGUCCAGUCCAUGUUCAGAUGUAGUGAAGUAUUUGUUGUUUGUGGUACAGCAAAUAUGCAAGUUUGUUUACUCAACAAGAAACUGAUUUCUGGAGUGUUCUAAUGCAAGAAAGCAUCUUUCUUAUUUUUUAAAUAAUUAUUAUGUUUCAAAUUGCUGAGAAAUACCCUCUGGAAGCUUUUUUUCUGCACAAUAGCACCAUUCUAAAUAUUAAUAGAAAUCUUUUAUGGUGGUGGGGAGGUUUACAAAUUUUAUUUUUUAGGUAAGCUUAGUUAUAUUGAAGUAUAACUUGUACAGAGAAGUCUGCAGAUUAUAAAUUCAGUAUAUGCAAUUUUUACAAUGGAAAACACCUAUGAACCAGCAUCAAAAUAAAAAUCAAACCUUACAAGAGAUGCUGAAAUUUCUAUUGCAUCUCUUAGUCCUUAACCAAAGAUAAUCACUCCUGGAACUUCUCUUACUAUAGUCUCCCAAAUUCUAAACCUUAUAAAACAAAUGUGUACUCUUCUAUAUCUGAUUUCAUUUACUGAAGAACACUGUUGCGUGCAAAAAAAAAUCUGUA